CUGAAAUGAACCCCACGUGGGAACUGGCCUUAGGAGGUCAUGCUACUUUUGUGGCAAUGCAUGUGUGUUUUCAGACUUCCAGAAGUCUUACUGAGCCCUGUCACCUUCUUAGAUGCCUGGAAGGCUUUUACCCCACUGGACUCCUUAGCGACUGGAGGAGAUUUGGGUCAAGAAAAGAUGUUUUGUAGCCAGUUUUAAUUAUGGACUCACCACAGAAAGGUCUGGAUCUACAGGGGGUCAAAAGGCAGAACAGACCCCAUGACAAUUGAAAUUUUUGGAUCAAACUGCUGCCCAGAUGAUUUUGUAUUACCUUGACCCUUGUGAAUCAUAAAUUGGCUUAAGUUACAAGGGACCUCAAAGAUCAUCCAGCUCCGAUACAAUGACUUCUCCAUAGAAAGGACAGACCUUCGUGGGGCUGGCUGCCAACAGGAGGCACUUCUCGGGGCUGAGCAUCACUAUAAGGAUGUCUCGCAGCCUGCUUUGAAACCCUGACCCUUCUCACAGCAGGGUUUUAUGGAAUUGUGUUACAGACAGCCAUAAAAUCACAUAUAUGUGGGUCUGGUGUGGCAACAUGGAAACCUGCCACGCCACGAUUAUCAAUCUGUGGUGAAGCUCCAGCCAACUAAAGUGAGAUGUGUCGGAGAUUGCCUACCAAUCACUCCUAGUCAAAAUGAGCUCAGGCUUUUAAGACCCAUCAGAAAGCACAGCCAAGAAACGAAGCUGCUGAAAUGCUUUUCUUAGGCUGUCACAGCAUGUGCUGACAGAACCCACUGUACACUACAAAAUUAGAAGAGAUUUUUAAAUCUCCCCUCUCCCUCCCAUGCCAUUUCAAACCCCCAAAGAGAUAAUAAUUAUCAGCUGAUAGGAAAGCACCUUCCCACAUAACAGCAGGUUUUCUUGGUGACGGAUGCAUUGUGUUAAUAAGGUUAUGUCAGGGGAAACAGCCUCUUUUCCCACCUGCUUGAGCUUGUUACAGAUUAAUCAUGGCCUUCCUGGCCCACAUGUGGUCGCUCAGCAAAUUGUGCAUGUGGGCAUUUCAUGUAAGCACGACGUUUGUUAGGGUGGGAGCAAGGAGAUGCCUUGGGGAGCUGCACCAGCAGAGGAAGAGAGCACUGCAGACAGCCCCAUCUUGCACUCAGAAUGCCAAACACUCAUCUUGGAUCCCCCUUUUCUGAGUCAGAAGGGGUUGCAUCCAUGAAAACAUCCCCCACAGAACAAUGUGGUCUUUUGCAGUCCCCUCUUAGAACAGAUCUCAUGCUUUAUCACUGCGUUUGUGCUAUCACUUGCAAAUUGAGUAAUUCUGUGAUACCUCUCCAGUACUGGUGUAUGUUAGAUGAAUCAGGAACCUUACAGAAAUUACAUUUCCACUUAAAGUUUUUAUACAUGCUGUCCUAGAGGAUGCGAUAGGAACGUGAUUCAUGUUUCGUGCUACACUGUGGGGAAAGCAUGCA